GUGGGGAAUAUUGGACAAUGGGCGCAAGCCUGAUCCAGCCAUACCGCGUGGGUGAAGAAGGCCUUCGGGUUGUAAAGCCCUUUUGUUGGGAAAGAAAUCCUGUCGGUUAAUACCUGGCGGGGAUGACGGUACCCAAAGAAUAAGCACCGGCUAACUUCGUGCCAGCAGCCGCGGUAAUACGAAGGGUGCAAGCGUUACUCGGAAUUACUGGGCGUAAAGCGUGCGUAGGUGGUGGUUUAAGUCCGUUGUGAAAGCCGUGGGCUCAACCUGGGAAUUGCAGUGGAUACUGGAUCACUAGAGUGUGGUAGAGGGAUGCGGAAUUUCUGGUGUAGCAGUGAAAUGCGUAGAGAUCAGAAGGAACAUCCGUGGCGAAGGCGGCAUCCUGGGCCAACACUGACACUGAGGCACGAAAGCGUGGGGAGCAAACAGGAUUAGAAACCCGUGUAGUCC
rnacentral:rRNA from 1 species